UUACGGCCACAGCACGUUAAAACAUCGGUUUCCGUAAGAUCACCGAAGUUAAGCAACGUCAAGUCUGGUAAGUCACUCGAUGUGUGAACGCUUGGCAAUACCUGCUGCUGUAUG